AUUGAACGCUGGCGGCAGGCUUAACACAUGCAAGUCGAACGAGAACCUGGAGCUUGCUCCAGGGGACAGUGGCGAACGGGUGAGUAACACGUGAGAAACCUGCCCCAGAGACCGGGACAACCGUCGGAAACGACGGCUAAUACCGGAUGCCUUCACAUGGCCGCAUGGCCGAGUGAAGAAAUGCUCUGGCGCUCUGGGAGGGUCUCGCGGCCUAUCAGCUAGUUGGUGGGGUGAUGGCCUACCAAGGCAUCGACGGGUAGCUGGUCUGAGAGGACGAUCAGCCACACUGGGACUGAGACACGGCCCAG
rnacentral:rRNA from 1 species